rnacentral:rRNA from 1 species
UAGCCUCGGGAAACUGGGAGUAAUGCCUUAUAAGAUACGUUUGUCGCAUGGCAUUUGUAUUAAACGCUCCGGCGCCAUAGGAUGGACCCGCGUCCCAUUAGCUAGUUGGUGAGAUAACAGCUCUCCAAGGCCACGAUGGGUAACCGGUCUGAGAGGGCGAACGGUCACACUGGAACUGAGACACGGUCCAGACUCCUACGGGAGGCAGCAGUGGGGAAUAUUGCGCAAUGGGGGCAACCCUGACGCAGCAAUACCGCGUGAGUGAAGAAGGUUUUCGGAUCGUAAAGCUCUGUUAUUGGGGAAGAAAAAAAGACGGUACCCAAGAAGAAAGUUCCGGCUAACUACGUGCCAGCAGCCGCGGUAAUACGUAGGGAACAAGCGUUGUCCGGAUUUACUGGGCGUAAAGGGCACGCAGGCGGUUUUUUAAGUCAGAUGUGAAAGGCCACAGCUCAGCUGUGGACAUGCAUUUGAAACUGAAAGACUUGAGUAUUGGAGAGGCAAGUGGAAUUCCUAGUGUAGCGGUGAAAUGCGUAGAUAUUAGGAGGAACACCGGUGGCGAAGGCGGCUUGCUGGACAAAUACUGACGCUG